UUUUUGGGUAUACUGUUAGAACAAAUACCGCAACGAAAAUCUAAUUGUGAUUUAAAUCUAACUAAAUAUUAUUAUGAAAAUAAAUAAAUACAAACUUACAGAUAAACGCAAAUCCAAAUAAAUAUUUAAUUGAUCCGGAAACGUGCGAGGCACUGCCCUAAGGCGUAUUCCCGUCCUUACGUGCGGGAUUAACCGGAAACACCGCCCCAAGGUACGACCGGAAUUCCUCCUACUGCGAGCACGAUCGUGAGGGAGGUUGACGAAGACUCUUUCAACACCCGAUGAUAAAAUGAUCAAAGCCAAAUAGAUAAAAAUAAUA
rnacentral:lncRNA from 1 species